CUAUCUUCUAACGACACUUGUUGACCAUUUUCGAAGGUCAACAAAAUGGACUCCUUUUGUUGGUGAUUUGUAAAGCCUGAGAUCGUUAGUUGUUCGACCUAAUUUGCUACCAAGGCAAAAUUCUAACAAUGGACUGAUUUUGUUGGUGAUUUGUAAAGCCUAAGAUCGUCAGUUGCUCGACUUAAUUUGCUGCCAAGGCAAAAUUCUCACAAUGUUCUUGAUGAAGUGAGCGAAGUUUUCUAUCUUCUGGGUCAUUUAAAGUACAAUUCGUUUCAAGCUAUGUUUAGAUAAAAACUGUAGGUAUUAUACAAUUGUUGGGAUUAAAAUUUAUCCAAGUUAUUAGGGGAUCAAAAUAAACAGAACAAAUUAUUAGGACCCAAAUACACAAGAAAAACAGUAAUUUUCUUGAUGAAAAUUAAGAACAAAGAAAACAGUUAUGAAUCUAAACUCUCCUCAAGGUAGAGAGAAGCCAAGAACAAACCCCGUCAAUGGAUUUAUAGUUCGGUUACAACCGUAUGCGAAGGUAGCACAGCCUAGUAAUAAAAUAGGCUCAAAUUAAAGCCCAACUCAGAAAAUAUAAAAAAAAUCAUUUUGUACUAACAGAUUGGGCAGGGGCCGCGCGAACGCAGGCCCCCACUACCACAAAUUACGACGUAGGCUCGACCACUUGGGCCGACCUUAGGCGGGCACCCCACCUAAGUGCAAUGGAAGUCACCAACCUAGGCCAUGGGCCUUCUUGAUCACCCAUUGACCCCG
rnacentral:lncRNA from 1 species